CAAGAUAUAGCUUAAACAAAGCAUCUGGCUUACACCCAGAAGAUUUCAUAUCAAAUUGAAUAUUUUGA
rnacentral:tRNA from 1 species